ensembl:lncRNA
AUGUCUUUUGGAUUUUCCGUGAGAGUGCUGGUGCUCUCCCUUUUGGCAUUUGGGCACAAUACAAAUGCACUCUACAGAAGUGGAGGCCCCAGUGGUACUAGGCCUCUCUUUGCUCAUCCACGAAGCCACAACCCUGAUUUUGUGUCAACUUAUGAGCGUUCUGUGAAGCCUGGAGGGUUUCUGGGUAGUUCUGGAUCCAGUCACGGUGGAAGUGGGCAAGUAGAUGGUUACAGUCCAUAUGGAAGUGUUUCUAGUUACGUGCCUGAACCACAGAUCCUUAGGAAACAAAACUCUCAGCAGCCGCCUAAAACUAACCCCAAUGCAAAUGGUAGAUUCUCGACCAAAGGUGGCAACUGGGAUUUGGCCCCUCAAAAUGGAAAAAGUAUUAAGUCAGGUAUUGCUUCAAGUAGUGCAAUUAUUAUGCAAUCUGGUUCAGAGCCACACACUUUCAAUCCGGGCUACCUGCCAAAGCAGCCCAGGCCCCAGGAAGUGCCUACUUCCAAUACAGGCUACCCGCAGAAGCCGCCCAGGCCCCAGCAGCUGCCUAUUUUCAAUAUGGGCUACCUGCAGAAGCCGCCCCAGCAGCUGCCCACUUCCAAUACGGGGAGCCUGCCCAGGCCCCAGCAGCUGCCCACUUCCAAUACUGGCAACCUGCAGAGCCUGCCCAGGCCCCAGCAGCUGCCCACUUCCAAUACAGGCAAACUGCAGAGGCUACCCAAGCCCCAGCAGCUGCCCACUUCCAAUAUGGCCUACCUGCAGAAGCCACCCAGGCCCCAGGAGCUGCCCACCUUCAAUACAGGAAACUUGCAGAGGCCGCCCCAGCAGCUGCCCACUUCCAAUGCAGGCAACCUGCAGAGGCCGCCAAAGCCCCAGCAGUUGCCGAUCUUCAAUAGAGGCUACCUGCAGAAGCCGGCCCAGCAGCUGCCCACUUCCAAUACAGGCAACCUGGAGAGGCUGCCCAAGCCCCAGCAGUUGCCGAUCUUCAACAAAGGCUACCUGCAGAAGCCGGCCCAGCAGCUGCCCACUUCCAAUACAGGCUACCUGCAGAUACCACCCAGGCCCCAGGCGCUCUCCUCUUUUAACACAGGCUACCAGUCCAAGCCCCAGCAGUCCCACACUUUCAAUCCAGUCUACCAGCCCCAGAAAGCCGUGUUGCAAACCAAAGCUGGCAUGUGGGACUUGUUUUCAGAUCCUACCAAAUCAAAUGUUGAUUCAAGAAAUUCAAAACCAAUUUCAAUGGAAUCUCCGUGCCAUUCCAGAAGGCAGCGUCCACUGGUGCCGAUGUAAAACAUUUCCCUCACAGUUCCUGGCAUUACGUUUUUUGGGGGGAAAAAACAAUAAAUUACUUUGAACUGAAUUGUCUGCAAUGGUCAUUUGAAACCAGAAAAUGUAUGGUUGCAACUAUACCCACUGAUUUCUCUGGUAUAAUACCAUAACUGUAGUUUAUAAAAUUGCUUCAUACAAAUUAAAUUCCUGAAGUGAAUGAGAUUGAGCUUAAAUCUGACCUAGUUUCUUACUGAAGAAUCUUGGCCACUUUGAUGGUUUUAAAAUCUGUAAGCCCAGUAGUUACUGGCGGACAAUACAAACUGAACCCUUGUUCUCUUUAGCUCAGUAGCUAGGCUGAGUCACAGCUCUAUUGAAUGUACUUCUAAAACUGUAGGGCGCAACCCUCUAACUGGUAUACAGCCCAUUUUUAAUGCUUUGUAGCAGCAAGCAGGCUUAUGGCAGCCAGUAAUUCAGAUAAAAUAUCCUUCCAUUGAGGGCCUAAAUCUCCACUAAUGUUUAGCACAAGUUGCACAUUGUGUUUAAAAGAUGCAGGGUAAAACGCUGCCAAAAUGGUUAUCACAUUUUGCUGUUUAUCUUGUCAGUGCAAAUGGGUUAAUUAAAGCAAAUGUUUCUUCUGAACUAAAGCAAUAACGCUAUGUUGACGAAAUGAGCAACUGUUCUGUUCUUCGUACAGCGUUUCUCUAACAUGUUGACUUUACAAAAAUGUUCCUUCUAAAAAUCCCCAAUGAUUCACAAUUGAGCAAACUGAUCACAACCCAACCUUUCUACCAUGAGAGUUCAAUGAAACACAGAUUUUCAGCUGGGUGUUAAAGGAAUGUUUGGAAAUGCACUUCAUGUUUUGGCAGUACUGUUAGUCCAGCAAUAAGAUCUCACGUCUGAAGCAUUCUUUUUUUAACGUAACAGCGCUCACUAUGUUCAAAAAGAAACUUAAUUUUCUCCAUAUCCACAAUAACUUGUGUUCCGUUACAUCAGAUAAUUUUUACUCAUAUUGGGGAAAACUUUUGUAAUUCCCUGCCCAGGGAAAAUACAUCGAGACUAAGGUGCGAAUUGAAAUGGAGAUUACUGUGUCGCUGUUAAAUUAAUAGACUAACAAAAGGUUUGCAGUUUUUAUCACGUUACCCAAUCGAGAGCCUACAUUCAUGAAUGUCUUUUAGAGAGGUACUUAUUAAAACUCAUAUUUUCAUUCUGUAUGCUGUGAUUGUAUUGUUAGAAACUGGGGUGUUUCCGAUAUUUAGUUUAUUCUUAUCGAUAUAAAGGGUCCGUAUUUACUUUUUUAACCGCAUUGCUAAUGUGCAAAUCUCAAUUGUAGCUAACAGGCCCUUUCUUUCUAUGCAUAGGCUUCAUGGUGCAGAAACUUCCUAUGUCCCCUUGAAGGUGGACUGAAAAUGGCGUCCUCAAGGGGGUUGUUUAAUGCUGCUGCUGUUUUGCAUGACGUGAUGGUUAUUUAGUAACUCAGUGUCAAAUAAACUGUAGAUCAAAGCAUGCUUACGGCUAGGCUUACUAUGAUAGAUAGGUCUCUGCAGCUGCCAGAACCAUAUACAUGGGGCCUCUACGUUCCUUUGUCCCAUUCCAAAUAUCGUUACGUUAGUUCGCCAAAGAUCGCAACGACAAAAUUGCAGAACACAAACAGUCCUCACACCAAUGGGUGACGUUACGAUACCUCUAAUACGUACCCUUCUUAAAUACCUCCAUCACUCUGAUAGAGCCUUCAGACCAGGGCUGAGCUGAAUACAUAUCCGUCGAAAAAUGUUCAAAGAAUUUAGUCAACAUAUUAUACUGCAACGAGGACGCCUCCAACUGUAAAGCUAUGGGACGAGCUGCACUCUAUUGGAGGAGGUGACAGUUAGAUUUGUGUGAAUAGUAAGCCACACAAGGGUUUGGGUUCAUGCCCUAUCAGAACGUUUUUUAGUGAAUUCCGUCUCUGAAGAACAGUAGCACAAAGACGCUUUGUGAAGAGGAUACCACCACAUCAGCAGAGCAGCAACGUGUUGCAAAGAAUAUUUUCUUGAAAUAUCAUGACCCUUAUUUCACCCUAAACUCAACCCAAAACCCCAAAAGCCUCUUAAUUCCCAAAAUAGUAACAAUGUAUUCGUUAGACUAGGAGCACGUAUGAUUUAUGGGGUUUUCUGAAGAGAAGGAAGUUGUGAAUCCAAGCAGAAAUCCUCCUUAUAGAACUGUGGGAUUUAAAAGUCAAGGGAUUUAAAAAUUCAACAUGCUAGGGCAAAUUUUAUAUUUUGUAUUGUCAUCUGGCACCUGAAUUUGUGUUUUCUUUUCCACAAACAAAUAUAUUUAUACACAAGUUGGUGCAGAAAAAACUCUAGGGUUACCCUAGGGUUAACGAAAUAAAGUCCUUGACUCGCCAUCUUUUAUAUGGAGUAAAUGUUCGUAGGCUUUUCCUGCCAGAGGCUGAUGUGGGAUACCCUCCGGUCUGGGACGUCAGGCGGAUCUGCUGACGAGGCUGUUGAAUUGAUCAGGGACCAAUUUGCUGCCUGAUCUUCCAUUGAGGCAGGUGACCUUCCAACCGGCGCACUUCCAGAGUGGGCGUGAGAAUCCGGUGCAGUCUAAAGAUGAAUUGCAGUCAUCAUCCUACCAAGGUUGCGUUGGAUGACCUCCCAACGACGUAGUAAUCAUGGAGGAUUGGUUCUGAUUAGCUGGCCCAUACAAAAAGUUUUAAACUGAUGAAUACACCUUUUAUUUAUUUGUCUGAAUUACACCGCACCACAUUUUUCUCUUGCUGUAAACUCGCAGCAGGCCUUUUAUCUUUUACUGAAAAAAAGGAGACAACUUUCCCUGACUCAUUGUUCAAGCCUUUCAGUGCAUGUAUGGAAGUAAAUAUGGGGCUUCGUUGAGUGUUUUAACUUUAACUUCAUGCCAUCAGUGUGGUUUGUGUCUGUAAGAUUCAGUAAUAGACAGCUGAUGCUGGGAUGCUUCAACGAGCUAUUAGGAGUGAUUGGCGGAGUUUUGAAAGUUUUGAAAGUUUUUGAAGUUAAAGUUAAAACACUCAACGAAGCCCCAUUAUUAAUGGACAUGGCUGAAAUUCGGUCAUCAUAGUCGACAAGCCGAAGUUGUAUUGGGGCGCUCGCUCCUUUUGCUUGACGUACGCUCCCGAUCUUGAAUCUAGAAUCGAUUGCUCUUCCUUGGGUUCCCGGAUGUUGCGGUUCGAAUUUUUUUGCAUUGAAUGUUUGCAUUGAUUUUUUUUGCAUUGAAUUUUUGGAUUGAAUUUUUUUGUAUUGAAUUUUUGCAUUGAAUUUUUUGCGGUUGAAUUAUUUGCGGUUGAAUUUUUUGCAGUUGAAUAUUUUAACGUUGAAAAACAUUCAGAUACAUGAUUUCAAUGCAUAAAUAUUCAGUGCUAGAAAUUUAGUCACCUUUUUCUUUCAAAAUCCGAUGACACAGAUGUAUGUGCAUAUUUUUGAACAUGUUACAUUGUUGUGGGAGCAGCACAUGUCACCUGUUUGGAAUCUUUGCACUAAGAUCAACAGUGGGAAUCUCCUUUACACACAUGGAGAGAUACGUACUCUGGGUUGUGACUGUAUUCAUGCCUACAUUUAUGUCUAUGCAUGAGUAUCUUUGUGACCAAUAUUAUUUUUAAGUAGAGCAUAUAAUAAGAGAUGAAACCUUUUAAAACAGUUAGAUGGCCGACAUGAUGGCCAAGCAGAAGGAGCACACGUUUCUGCAAUAUUUAUUAAUAUUGAUGCAUACAGACAUAUUUGCACACGGUUAGAAAUGUGCUCAUAAAGCGACAGUUGUGAAAAUUAAACCGCAGACCAAAGCGUUGUGGAAAACCAGAGUCUGAUCAAUGUGAGGCCCCCUUCAAUAAUUACCUCUGUGACAUGCAGAGGUGUAUGCACAUUUCCAUUCCAAUACGACCUUUUUCAGUUUUCGGGCAUUAGAAACAGGAAACUGUAUGUCUGACAAGAGGAAAAUGGCACAGCUAUUUUUGGCCACAUUCCUCUGUCAAUUUCCUGUUGCUGAGUGCAUCCUUGAUUGAGUGAUGAAGCCGGUAAUUGCAGGUCAGAGUGUGUUACGGUGAAAGAGGUCCUUGUGGUGGAUCCGGUUGUGGCAGAGUUAAAAAAAGAGGAGGAGAAAACAUCUUUUAACUCUCAGUGAUCUUCUAAAGUCUGUGCAGUGCUCAUGAUGAAAAGGAAUGAGGCAUGAACACAAAAGUUUCAGGAAAUAGCUUUGGUAGUCCGACACAAUUAGGACGAUCCACUGUGGUGGCGAUUGCAGUCUUUGUGUAAUCUUUACCCACUGCACUUUCUCUCACAUUUCUUUCACAUUUUCUUACACAUCUCCUCGAUGCGGUUAACACAUGUUAACAAGAGCAAGCAUCUGUCCCAGUGAGCUUAAACCGCUGAGAUGCUUAUACAUCAUUACUGCUCCUUAAAACUCUGUUUGCUAUUGUAUUUUAAAUAUUAGUGAGCUAGUGGCAACCCAUCAUUUUACACCUCUGAUUGGAUAUAAAUGAAUGGAAGCUGUCGCCUGGCUGAGCAUGCAAGUCUUUCCUGACUUUCAAACAGUUUAAUUAACAAACCGAUGACGACUCUAUACUUUUGAUGUAGAAAUUAUACUGAUUCAUGACAUUUUGCUGUGUAAGGACACUUUGAGGAUGGAGAUAUUCAGUACAAGUGCUAGGCAUUUAAUAAAGUGUGAUUUAAGUGAUUGAUAUUGAUUU